AGAGUGAACGCUGGCGGCAGGCCUAAUACAUGCAAGUCGAACGGCAGCACGGCAGAGCUUGCUCUGUGGGUGGCGAGUGGCGGACGGGUGAGGAAUACAUGGGAAUCUGCCCAGUCGUGGGGGAUAACGUAGGGAAACUUACGCUAAUACCGCAUGCGCCCUUCGGGGGAAAGCCGGGGACCUUCGGGCCUCGCGCCAUUAGAUGAGCCUAGGUCGGAUUAGCUAGUUGGUGAGGUAAUGGCUCACCACGGCGACGAUCCGUAACUGGUCUGAGAGGAUGAUCAGUCACACUGGAACUGAGACACGGUCCAGACUCCUACGGGAGCAGCAGUGGGAAUAUUGGACAA
rnacentral:rRNA from 1 species